rnacentral:piRNA from 1 species
UGCUCCACUACGUCUGGGACCUCCACU